rnacentral:rRNA from 1 species
UACGUAGGGGGCAAGCGUUGUCCGGAAUCAUUGGGCGUAAAGAGCGCGUAGGCGGCCCAGUAAGUCCGCUCUGAAAGUCAGGGGCUCAACCCCUGGAUGCGGGUGGAUACUGCUGGGCUAGAGUCCGGAAGAGGUGAGUGGAAUUCCUGGUGUAGCGGUGAAAUGCGCAGAUAUCGGGAAGGAACACCUGUGGCGAAGGCGGCCGCCUGGUUGGAUACGUGACGC